AUUGAACGCUGGCGGCGUGCUUAACACAUGCAAGUCGAGCGGCAGCGCGGUAGCAAUACUGGCGGCGAGCGGCGGACGGGUGAGUAACGCUUGGGAAUCUGCCUAUUAGUGGGGGACAACCCGGGGAAACGUCGGCGUAAUACCGCAUACGCUCUACGGAGGAAAGACCGGGGGCCGGCAAGGCCUGGCGCUAAUAGAUGAGCCCAACGUCGGAUUAGCUAGUUGGUAGGGUAACGGCCUACCAAGGCGACAAUCCGUAGCUGGUCUGAGAGGACGACCAGCCACACCGGAACUGAGACACGGU
rnacentral:rRNA from 1 species